CGGAGAUGGAUUAAAUAUAGACCAUUUUUUGAAAUCAAUUGGAGGGCAAGUCUUGGUGCC
rnacentral:rRNA from 1 species